rnacentral:rRNA from 1 species
GAACGCUGGCGGCGUGCUUAACACAUGCAAGUCGAACGGAAAGGCCCUGCUUUUGUGGGGUGCUCGAGUGGCGAACGGGUGAGUAACACGUGAGUAACCUGCCCUUGACUUUGGGAUAACUUCAGGAAACUGGGGCUAAUACCGGAUAGGAGCUCCUGCUGCAUGGUGGGGGUUGGAAAGUUUCGGCGGUUGGGGAUGGACUCGCGGCUUAUCAGCUUGUUGGUGGGGUAGUGGCUUACCAAGGCUUUGACGGGUAGCCGGCCUGAGAGGGUGACCGGCCACAUUGGGACUGAGAUACGGCCCAGACUCCUACGGGAGGCAGCAGUGGGGAAUAUUGCACAAUGGGCGGAAGCCUGAUGCAGCAACGCCGCGUGCGGGAUGACGGCCUUCGGGUUGUAAACCGCUUUCGCCUGUGACGAAGCGUGAGUGACGGUAAUGGGUAAAGAAGCACCGGCUAACUACGUGCCAGCAGCCGCGGUGAUACGUAGGGUGCGAGCGUUGUCCGGAUUUAUUGGGCGUAAAGGGCUCGUAGGUGGUUGAUCGCGUCGGAAGUGUAAUCUUGGGGCUUAACCCUGAGCGUGCUUUCGAUACGGGUUGACUUGAGGAAGGUAGGGGAGAAUGGAAUUCCUGGUGGAGCGGUGGAAUGCGCAGAUAUCAGGAGGAACACCAGUGGCGAAGGCGGUUCUCUGGGCCUUUCCUGACGCUGAGGAGCGAAAGCGUGGGGAGCGAACAGGCUUAGAUACCCUGGUAGUCCACGCUGUAAACGGUGGGUACUAGGUGUGGGGUCCAUUCCACGGGUUCCGUGCCGUAGCUAACGCUUUAAGUACCCCGCCUGGGGAGUACGGCCGCAAGGCUAAAACUCAAAGGAAUUGACGGGGCCCCGCACAAGCGGCGGAGCAUGCGGAUUAAUUCGAUGCAACGCGUAGAACCUUACCUGGGUUUGACAUGGAUCGGGAGUGCUCAGAGAUGGGUGUGCCUCUUUUGGGGUCGGUUCACAGGUGGUGCAUGGCUGUCGUCAGCUCGUGUCGUGAGAUGUUGGGUUAAGUCCCGCAACGAGCGCAACCCUUGUUCACUGUUGCCAGCACGUUAUGGUGGGGACUCAGUGGAGACCGCCGGGGUCAACUCGGAGGAAGGUGGGGAUGACGUCAAGUCAUCAUGCCCCUUAUGUCCAGGGCUUCACGCAUGCUACAAUGGCUGGUACAGAGAGUGGCGAGCCUGUGAGGGUGAGCGAAUCUCGGAAAGCCGGUCUCAGUUCGGAUUGGGGUCUGCAACUCGACCUCAUGAAGUCGGAGUCGCUAGUAAUCGCAGAUCAGCAACGCUGCGGUGAAUACGUUCCCGGGGCUUGUACACACCGCCCGUCAAGUCAUGAAAGUUGGUAACACCCGAAGCCGGUGGCCUAACCGUUGUGGGGGAGCCGUCGAAGGUGGGACUGGUGAUUAGGACUAA